rnacentral:lncRNA from 1 species
GCCCACGAUGGAGCAUGCAACUUCAUAUUUGGCACAUAGGUUAAUUAGAUGUUCUAUGGUACCAACAGACUCUUGUGUUUCUUGAAUGGUUCCAGUUUCAUUCUGGACAAGUAAGAAUACUUGAUCUGUUGUCACAUUAAGGAAUUUAGUCCUGAUUCCUCUUUCCAAUUCCUCCUGAGUUCUGUUUCUCAGACCAUGACAUACUGGAUCUGGCAAAUCAUUGAUGUCAAUUAAUGCUCCCAUGGGAGAUAACAGUUCAGUGAGUAUUUCUUGGAUGGAGCACCUGACCUGUGGCAUCAUGGACCGGAUGUAACAGGCGUGAGAAAGGUCUUUGGUCCAUUCUUGUAAUACUCUUGUGAGCUUUCUAACAGUUAAUGGGCUGCUGUCAUAGCCAUAUGGGGGGCCGUCUGGGCGAUAGAGGGGACAGAAACUUCCAACAGCAACAAUGAAGGUAUUGCAGGGGUCUGCAGGUCGGUUAUGGGAGACAUAGUCAUCUUUAGAUAACUUACUUAUAAAAUUGACAAAAUUGACUUCUGUUGGGAAGGUUAGUUGGUUAGAAGAGAUUGGGCGAAUAAACCCCCCAGUCACUGGAACACCAGAUGCUCUAAGAUGGUCUGAUCUGGCUUUGAGGAGCAUGGUAAGUAUGCAUGGGGCGAGUGGAUUAUCCCCCACAGUCUGAUUGCAGAUGAGAUAGGAGCCACCGUUGAUUGCUACAGGGAUGACUCCUGGCAUGUUACUAAUGGAUGACAGGUUGGCAUGUAAGAAAUUUCCUGGUCCUGUAAUUGUGGUGUGGUGGCAGGUGGCCAUUUCACUUCCUGUUAGUUUUAUCAUGGUAGGUACAGCUUCUGGAAAGGUUGAGAGGCUGUUCGCGUAGGUGGUACGCCCAAGCCCUUGGGCCAACAUAAUGUUUGCGUGGACAGCAUCUGGUUCUGAGGACAGGACAGUGGGGCUAGUCAGGCGACUGGAGGGUUCGAAGGUAGAUAGGUGGUCAUAUUCCAGCUGUGUACGCUCUCUGCCAUAUAUGAACCAGUACAGUAGUUCUAUCAUUACAAGUAUGGCGGCGUUUGGUUGGGUAUAGAUUCCACAUAUCCUCCUAGAAUAGUCCAUUCGCGUGGUUCCCAUAGGAAGAAUAUAUCCCAGGAGUUCUGUCAGUUCAUUGCACCAGGUCAGGGGCCGUUGCCCAGGGAAGGGUCCAUAAAUAAAAUCUAGCCGCUGGGCAUCGCCAUGCCCAUCAUCUGGGGGCUCUCUGGUGCUAUCAAGCGUGAGAUCGCUGCAGGUGAGGCGUGCUGCCACCUGUAUCCAUCGCCUAAUUCGUCUCGAGCUGGCACGCCCAUUCCUGGUCCGACUGUUCCUUAUAGUCAAGGUGAGGACACCGCAUAUACUGGUGCUUCGGAGAGGAAAGUGAAUUGUUCUUGACAGUAUUAGUCUGUUAAGGACAUGUUCCUCCAAUGUGGUCCUGGCCCUGGCAUAGACUUGGAUUGCCCAGACGUCCUCAUCCAUUUCUGUGGUGUUUAAUGUUUAAGUGUAAAGGUCUGGAUUUUGGAAAGUCCCACCUAAGCCGAGGAGGGUCGAGGAAUAUUGAUUUUUGUAGACUCUAAUAUUGCAAAUCAGACACAGGUUGUCCUUAUCAGGUUUCUCUUGCUGCCAGUGCCCAUAAGAGCAGGUGGUGCAGACACUGUCUCCAGGGACUCUCUUGUGCCUCCUGGUCGUCUAGGUGUUGCCAUUGGUGCAAGUACAGCGAGUCUGUGGGGUUAAACACCAUAGUGCAUGCUCUCCCAUCAUAACUGCAGAGUGCAGCUACGUUAGUGCCGCCAGAGGGGUUUCUAGGAUAGUAUGUGGCGGGGGCGGUUCCAUCUGCAGUUGCAAACCUGGCAGCAAUCAGCCCAGGGCUAAGUGUAUCACCUGAAGACGAAGAGGAAAUGUCAAUCCCCAAGUGGGUACCGCAUGCCCAGGCCGGACAAGCUGAGCCAUGCAAGGGUCUAAAGAAGAUGCUGUUCGAGGGGGGUAGCGACACAUUCAGCCAAAGACUCUGCAGAAGAGGUACCUUGUUUGCUGUAAGACGAGGCCUGUUAAUCAGUUCCUCCAACUCUGUGGCGAUGAAGGGGCGAUCACACCUCCAUUCUGUUAAGUUAAGAGCAAGGAGUACUUGGGUGGCAAACUCUCCAAAUCCUAGAAUAAAAGUGUGUUUUUGCUGAUAAAAUGUGUUCAUCCAGUCUAGGAAUUGUAGAUUUUGUAACAGGGCUGAGGCUGUGAGCCAGCCACCAGUCUCUGAUAAGAGAGUUCCGCGCUGGCCUGCUAUGACACAUCCAGAAACUGUCAGAGGAUCAGUUUUGUACAGUUCUGUUACAUCCAUUGGACGGAUAUCAAACCCCAUACUGGCAAAGGCUGUCAGAGUCCCAUGAUGAGUUGGCUGGCCGGGAAACACAAUUAGGAGCACUUUUGGUGGAGAGCUCCCUGGGGCCAUGGAAAGUGCACAAAGUUUGGAACUUUGUGGGCGUGGCAGAUUAUACGGUCUGUUGUAGCCAAGGGAAAGCGAUUCUUGCUGUUCUUGGGGUGUCAGGUUGCCUACUUUCAUCAUAUGUUCUCUGAGGAAACCAGACCUCCAGUACAUGGUGGCGUGGGCCAGACUUUCUUGGUAAAUGACAUUUCUGUUAUGCAUGCACCUUAUGGUUGCGGGGGGCACAUUCCCAGACACGAAGCCAAUCAUGGCAAAACAUAGUCCCUGACUUGUUAGCUCACAGGUGAUAUCUUGAGCUCGAAGUGGAUCAACCUCACAUAUAAAUCCUGGAGUUUCCGAUAGCAUAAACUGGUAGGGACAGGGGACCUGUGCGGGGAUUUCAAUCUCUGCACCACGGCGACCGCUCAUUGCCAUUUCCAGAAGACAAGUGAUUAGUCCACCAUCACUGAUGUCAUGAAUGCUUAAGAUGGCUCCCCUUGUUAGAAAAUGAUUAAUGGUUUUAAGGGUUUUCCACACAAGCCUAUGGUCAAAAGUGAGCAAGUUGGUACAUGCGAGGCCAAGUAUUGUUGCUGCUAUGGAGGCAGAGAGUGUAAACUUGGGGUGUAGUGAGACCCAUAUGAUGUGACUUCCAGGGCUUUUGAAGUCUGGGGUGGGUUUAGGGGCGAGGUAGAGCGGACCCGUAGCUUGUGCUGUGAAGACGAUAGUCAUAAGCGGGGGCGUGGAUGGAGAUCUCUCUGGUGUACUAUCGCUGGCGGAUGUGGUGGAAAAACAGACGCCAGCCUCUCCACAGAAGUCCCUGCAGCAUCUGAGACAGUAAUUAAUUAACUCAUAAUGUCUCAGGUUGGGACCGCAGGUCACGGCGGCAGUUAUAUGGAUGUCAUCCACCAGUAUGUGGGGAGAGCAAAAUAGAUUGGUGAGACUCUCUAGAAGAGCAUACAUGACCCCUCUUCUUGGGUCAAGGUGGACUUUUCUACACUGCUCUCCAAGGGCUGUUGUGAUACAGAUGCAGUGAUUGUUUGUCAGGACGGUGGGGACAUGUGGAUCGAACCAUGCAUCUACAUCCAAUAUCAGUCUCUGGGCGAUCUCGGUGUUGACCUGGAUUGUUUUUGACGCUGACUGAUAGACCCCAGUGUAUAUUGUUGAAUAAUCACUCACUGGAAGGUCCAGAGGACCGCAGCCCUGUUGCUGAACAACCUGUCCUUGACCACAUCUGUCCAGAUGCCUCACAAUACCCUCUUUGCUUUCUACAUCUGGAUGGGAGAGGAGGAAUUCCAUAAAUGAGUUAAAGUUUAUGGUUUGCCAAGGAAAUCUGACAUGGUGGGGUAUCGUUCUUCCACGGUUAGAGGGUUCUGGGCCCAGUGGGUAAUAUGGCUGCCGUGGGUAGGCGUCUUGGAGGUAAAAAUCUGCCCGGCGCUCAGGGGGUGCUCCCCUAAUGUCAGAGACCAGAAUACCUGCCGCGCCGGGGCGGGCACGACCCAGAAAGACCGCGGUUACGCCUGAGCUGCUACACAGCUGCCUUAGUCGAUCCAGAGGCAGAACUUCCUCCCCAGUGUUAUGGUCAAUGCAGGGUGUAUUGGAGACCAGUAAGGGAAUCACACAGCAGACCUUGUUGAAAAAUACUUGUCUACAUGUUUCUUCAUAAUUGUCAUCUGUACUUGCCAGCAGCUCAUCAAGCAGGUCCUGGCUCAGGUAUGAGAGGUCAAUAGUGGCGCUGAGGGGAAAUAAAAGUUCCAAGAGCAGUUCUUCCAGCGAACUCAGGUAAGGUGGUCUGAUGCUUUUAACGAUGGCUCCAGGACCCAGAUCACCCACUAGACGGGCAAUAGCCUGGGAGAUGCCAUUUGCUAUCAGUGGACUUUGGGCGUUGGAGUGAGGCGGCAUGUCCGCCAAGGGGCUAUCCUCCAGGGAUCCUACGAGUACAAUGUCGCCACCUGCUGGAUGUGAGGCGUUAACCCAAGUCUCGUGGCAGUUUCGAUCAAAUGAGGAAGUGGUCGAGGUGUGAACGACCACAAAGCCCAAUUCGUGGUUUUCGUGGGUGAUGUGCCUAAUGAACCCUAUCGGGACUCCUACACCACAGGCAUAAAGAGCUCCCGCUUGGUCCUGGACAGCAUACGUGGACUGGAGACUGGAAAGUGGAGUGACCUGAGAGGGGGCGAGGAUGAACAGGCCCAGGGUUGACUGGACGGGUCUGGACCCGGGGCGUGAUCCACUUCAGUGAGACCCCUGAGAAACAGGGGAUAUCCGGUGCCAUACGCCAGGGGCGGUGAGGUAGAUCCCAGGCAGACCGAGCUUCUGUCCCCGAGCCUUGGCAGAAAGAUCCCAGAACUCACGGGGUCGGGAGGAUGUGGGCGUGGACGGCGGUAGGAGGUUGGGAAGAGUCCGGUCUCCGCGUCAGAGCCCAGGGGCAGUGUCACUAGUUGGCGGGACCGUCCCUCAACAUUCCAAGAGUGAAGGUAUGAUAGGACACGGUGGGUAACUUCAGCCAGCGUAGAUCCCUCGUGAAGUAAGGUCACUAAUAGGUGAUGGGUGAGGUCGAUGCGAAUGUUUGCACGAAGAGGGUGCGUGCCAACCACUGCAGAGUUGAUUAGUUCUUGCAGCGCUGUAGCUGGAGGCAAGCUUUGCAGGUGAGAGUAUGCAAAAUCCAGCAAUUCGGGCCUUCUGGGGAACCCCCUGGGGCGCAUGCCCAGGUGACGUCUUGAGAGGUCACGGGUGAAGGCAGCAGCCAGUCUACUGAACAGCAUAGAUAUUCUGGAUCUGUCAUCCACCUCGGAGGAUGGAAGUACGGCCCUGCACUCCAAAACACGCGUGGGCAGGAAACAUUCCAGACCAGGAUUCUGUCCCCACGCGAGAGGCGGCCCCCUCUGGGUGGCCAGAUCUUCAGCGCUCGGGGAACAUGGGUGGAAGACCCUCAAUGUCCAAAUAAAGUCGUCUGACAUGGUCCUGG